rnacentral:rRNA from 1 species
GACGAACGCUGGCGGCGUGCCUAAUACAUGCAAGUCGAACGCUUUUUCUGUCACCGGAGCUUGCUCCACCGAAAGAAAAAGAGUGGCGAACGGGUGAGUAACACGUGGGUAACCUGCCCAUCAGAAGGGGAUAACACUUGGAAACAGGUGCUAAUACCGUAUAACACUAUUUUCCGCAUGGAAGAAAGUUGAAAGGCGCUUUUGCGUCACUGAUGGAUGGACCCGCGGUGCAUUAGCUAGUUGGUGAGGUAACGGCUCACCAAGGCAACGAUGAAUAGCCGACUGGGGAGGGUGAUCGGCCACACUGGGACUGAGACACGGCCCAGACUCCUACGGGAGGCAGCAGUAGGGAAUCUUCGGCAAUGGACGAAAGUCUGACCGAGCAACGCCGCGUGAGUGAAGAAGGUUUUCGGAUCGUAAAACUCUGUUGUUAGAGAAGAACAAGGAUGAGAGUAAAACGUUCAUCCCUUGACGGUAUCUAACCAGAAAGCCACGGCUAACUACGUGCCAGCAGCCGCCGUAA